CGGCGCACGGGCGAGUAACACGUAUCCAACCUGCCGUCUACUCUUGGCCAGCCUUCUGAAAGGAAGAUUAAUCCAGGAUGGCAUCAUGAGUUCACAUGUCCGCAUGAUUAAAGGUAUUUUCCGGUAGACGAUGGGGAUGCGUUCCAUUAGAUAGUAGGCGGGGUAACGGCCCACCUAGUCAACGAUGGAUAGGGGUUCUGAGAGGAAGGUCCCCCACAUUGGAACUGAGACACGGUCCAAACUCCUACGGGAGGCAGCAGUGAGGAAUAUUGGUCAAUGGGCGAUGGCCUGAACCAGCCAAGUAGCGUGAAGGAUGACUGCCCUAUGGGUUGUAAACUUCUUUUAUAAAGGAAUAAAGUCGGGUAUGCAUACCCGUUUGCAUGUACUUUAUGAAUAAGGAUCGGCUAACUCCGUGCCAGCAGCCGCGGUAAUACGGAGGAUCCGAGCGUUAUCCGGAUUUAUUGGGUUUAAAGGGAGCGUAGAUGGAUGUUUAAGUCAGUUGUGAAAGUUUGCGGCUCAACCGUAAAAUUGCAGUUGAUACUGGAUGUCUUGAGUGCAGUUGAGGCAGGCGGAAUUCGUGGUGUAGCGGUGAAAUGCUUAGAUAUCACGAAGAACUCCGAUUGCGAAGGCAGC
rnacentral:rRNA from 1 species